AUGAGAUUGUUGUGAUUCUGAUAUGUCCUAGUAUAUAUUAUCAGUAGUAACUAUCAUUAUGUAAAAUUGUUAUAUGCCAUAGAAGUAACCAAAUUUCCUUGUCAGUUGUGUUUAAAAGACUGUUUUAAAACUUUUGUUAUCCACAGUUGUUGUACUCAUAUCCUUUUCAAAAGGUGGUUUUAUAAUCAGCUACAGGACUCUGACAGGUGCUCUCGAAGGCAGGUGUUUAAUAACUUUGGAGACUGUGACACUAGAAUAGAGGAAAAACUUCCAAGACUCUCAUAGACAGGAUACAGUUGAGGACAAUGGUAAUUUAACCAAGUCUUUGACUGGAGUUGCAUACUUUCAGAUAUAAAGAAACUGCUUUAAGGGAUCAGAGUUGACUUAGAAAGCCAAUAAAAGCCCCUUUGGAAAGCUGGCCUCCUACCUUGUCUACCCAGUUCUUGUACAGGUUUCUGACCUGUGCUGUGCCUUCUUAAAGGCUGGAGCCUGGAGCACAUGAGGAGAAUUCACAGAAGUGCCUGGAAAGGGAACUGCGGUGGAUCUUACAGAGACUUGAAACAUGUGGAGAAGUUUGGCUUUUAUUCAUAAAGGACAAAGUGCUGCCUCCACCUCCCCACCUGUCUAGUUUUAUUCAGUGAUGUCUAUCCUCAUGACUUGGGCCAUUUUCAUCAUCACGUCUAUUUGGUUACCUAGGUCUGCCGUUUUUUGUUUUUGUUUUUUCCCAAAUGCUUUCCACAUAAGAUGGCCUAGGUGUCAAUUGCUUAUCUCAGUGGAAUCAUUUCUACUCACCUAUAAAAUGGGAGUAAUAAAAAUGCUAUGUAUCCGAUUGUUGUGAGGAUGAAAUGGGAAUACUUGGACAUGGGGCCUGGUUGCUGGUGGAGGCAUCUGCUCUGUUCCCUGCUGCAUCCCUCACUUCCUGCCAUCCUCUUGCCCCACUUCUGCAGUGCUGAGUGACAGGCCCACAGCCUCCAUGCCCUCCUGUUCCUUCCUUCUCUGCUGAUCUUUUCUGUUUCCAGACACAUCUGCCACUACUGUCUGGUCCAAACACUCUUUCACCUAGGAAGUUUAAGCACGUUGUUGAACUAGAAAUAAUGUAUUCACUCAGUUACUUAUACACACAUUCUUUUCCCACUCAUUAAAAGUGGUUUGAAAAAUUUAUUUCAUUGUUCUUAAAGUGCUGAAUCAAGUGUUUUUCCUUUGGUUGGGAAAGGCCUUUGCCGUUUACCUUCAUCCACUCAUUCAUUUGUGAAGAUGUGUGUGCAGGCCCUAUGGUGACAGUGUCUGUCUAAAGUGAAGAGCUCAGCACCCAAACUCUAGAACAUCUGAAAACGUAGCUAGAUCCUGUGUUCUCUUCUCUAACAGAGUUAAAGUUAAGGUGCAUUUACUCAGUGCCUAGGGGGUAAAAAUGUGCGGUUCAGACUUCAACCAUGUGGGUGCUGUUUUUACCCAGAAUACCAACUGAUUCCAGGAAAGAGUAUUAGGAGAUUCAAGAUUUCUAUUUCUUUUGAACAUAUGUUAUUAGAGUUAAUUGUUAGGAAACUAUUUUAAAGAUAAUUAUUUGAAUACUGAAAAUGACUUUGAUUUCUAACAGGAAGCCAGGCUCACUUGUUACUUCCACAUAUGUGAUGAAGGCAAAAGACCACAGUUGCAUACAUUUGCAUAGUUAUCCUCGAGACUGGAAAUGUCAGUAAGAUGCAAUUGAUUGACUUGCUGAUUGUCUUUCCUCAUGUGAGCGUCUUUUCCAUGUUCAUGACCCACCACUGAUAUUCUGUGGAACUGAACUAAAACUAUGGUCCCCGAAGCCUUGUUGGGGGUGUGGAGGAAGGCGAGAGAGUGGAGGGGAGGGGACGGACACAGUAUUCCUGUCAGGGUGCAGCUGCAGCUCUGCUCCAAGGCACACUUUUCCUCUGGAUUCCACAGAAUUUCUCCCAGGGUCAUCCUUCUCCAGUAGCAGCCCCUCCACCUGGAGCAUCACUGGUGGGCAGUUGUGGCGUCAGGCACUGUCUCUGCCCUCAUCUGCUCUGGCUGGGGCAGCAGGAUUGAUUUCAUUCAAAAGACAACUGGUUUUCAUGGCAGGGGCUAUAGUGAGCAGAGCAGAGAACAGGCACUUGGGCGUCCUACUGGCUUUCUUCUUGCCUGAGGCUAGUCCUCCUUGAGCCAAUCCUAUGUCUCCUAGAGCACUUAGUUGUCCCUCUGUACUUUCAACCUCUGGCUCCCGCCCUAUAGUCAUAAAUGUGCUAGAGGCUUAAAACAAAUGCCUCACCACCACCUUUUAUCUCGCCUACCAACAAGUACCCCCCAAAAUUAGGGUUAGCUGAGCAUGGUGUCUCAUGCCUGUAAAUCCCAGCACUUUG
rnacentral:lncRNA from 1 species